UACAGAGGGUGCAAACGUUGUUCGGAAUUACUGGGCGUAAAGCGUGUGUAGGCGGCCUCGUAGGUCGGAUGUGAAAGCUCUCGGCUCAACCGGGAAAGUGCAUUCGAAACCACAAGGCUUGAGUGUCGGAGAGGAAGGCGGAAUUGUCGGUGUAGAGGUGAAAUUCGUAGAUAUCGACAGGAACACCUGCGGCGAAAGCGGCCUUCUGGACGAACACUGACGCUGAGACACGAAAAGCGUGGGGAGCAAACAGGG
rnacentral:rRNA from 1 species